rnacentral:lncRNA from 1 species
UCUGAGGAAGGCAUUUGAAGAAGCAGAAAAGAAUGCACCAUCUAUUAUAUUCAUUGAUGAGAUUGAUUCAAUUGCCCCUAAAAGAGAGAAGACCCAUGGUGAAGUUGAGAGGAGAAUUGUUUCCCAGCUGUUGACACUUAUGGAUGGACUUAAAUCUCGUGCUCAUGUAAUUGUAAUGGGUGCUACUAAUCGUCCUAAUAGUAUUGACCCUGCUCUUAGGAGGUUCGGCAGAUUCGACAGAGAAAUAGAUAUUGGUGUACCUGAUGAAGUUGGACGGCUAGAGGUUCUCCGUAUACAUACAAAGAACAUGAAGCUUGCUGAAGAUGUAAGCAUAAUUUCCCUAGCAUUUUGAUAUAUACAUGUGGGUGUAAGAUACUUUUAUGAACAUGUGUACUUUGCUAAGGAACAUGUAACACAAAUUACCUCUAUCUGUUGUGUAGGUUGAUUUGGAAAAAAUUUCAAAGGAUACACAUGGAUAUGUUGGUGCAGAUUUAGCAGCUCUGUGUACUGAGGCUGCACUUCAGUGCAUCAGGGAGAAGAUGGAUGUUAUCGACUUGGAAGAUGAAACAAUCGAUGCAGAGAUAUUGAACUCAAUGGCUGUUACCAAUGAGCACUUCCACACUGCUCUUGGAACGAGCAACCCCUCUGCGUUGCGUGAAACAGUAAGUAGUGCUUUUACCGAUGAGUUAGGAAUCUCCUUGAUGUUUAUUUUGUUAUUAAUCCUCAUGUUUCUGUUUGGCUAGGUUGUUGAGGUGCCUAAUGUUAGUUGGGAAGAUAUUGGAGGCUUGGAGAAUGUCAAGAGGGAACUGCAAGAGGUAAUAUCAAAUCUUAGAUCUAGAGUCAUGUGUUUUUUUUUUUUUUUGUGCUGUGAAUUAAGUUUUUUGCUUAUUUAACUUGGACUACAGACUGUUCAAUAUCCUGUGGAGCAUCCAGAGAAGUUUGAGAAGUUUGGCAUGUCGCCCUCAAAGGGAGUCCUAUUCUAUGGACCACCUGGAUGUGGAAAGACCUUACUGGCCAAGGCAAUUGCUAAUGAGUGCCAAGCAAACUUUAUUAGUAUUAAAGGACCUGAGUUGCUUACCAUGUGGUUUGGAGAAAGUGAGGCAAAUGUGCGAGAAAUAUUUGAUAAGGCUCGUGG